rnacentral:rRNA from 1 species
UUGCACCUGAUUGAUUUUGGUCGCCAACGAGUGGCGGACGGGUGAGUAACACGUAGGUAACCUGCCCAGAAGCGGGGGACAACAUUUGGAAACAGAUGCUAAUACCGCAUAACAACGUUGUUCGCAUGAACAACGCUUAAAAGAUGGCUUCUCGCUAUCACUUCUGGAUGGACCUGCGGUGCAUUAGCUUGUUGGUGGGGUAAUGGCCUACCAAGGCGAUGAUGCAUAGCCGAGUUGAGAGACUGAUCGGCCACAAUGGGACUGAGACACGGCCCAUACUCCUACGGGAGGCAGCAGUAGGGAAUCUUCCACAAUGGGCGCAAGCCUGAUGGAGCAACACCGCGUGAGUGAAGAAGGGUUUCGGCUCGUAAAGCUCUGUUGUUAAAGAAGAACACGUAUGAGAGUAACUGUUCAUACGUUGACGGUAUUUAACCAGAAAGUCACGGCUAACUACGUGCCAGCAGCCGCGGUAAUACGUAGGUGGCAAGCGUUAUCCGGAUUUAUUGGGCGUAAAGAGAGUGCAG